rnacentral:rRNA from 1 species
CCUACGGGUGGCAGCAGUAGGGAAUCUUGCGCAAUGGACGAAAGCCUGACGCAGCAACGCCGCGUGAGUGAAGAAGGUUUUCGGAUCGUAAACCUCUGUCAUCAGGGAAGAACGUGUCCUGUGCUAACUAGUAGCGACUUGACGGUACCUGACCAGAAAGCACCGGCUAACUACGUGCCAGCAGCCGCGGUAAUACGGAGGUGGCGAGCGUUAACCGGAAUUAUUGGGCGUAAAGCGAGCGCAGGCGGUAUGGUAAGUCAUGGGUGAACUCCCAGGGCUCAACCUGGGAAGUGGAUUGGAAACUGGGAAACUGGAGUGUGUGAGAGGAUAGUGGAAUUCCAGGUGUAGGGGUGAAAUCCGUAGAUAUCUGGAGGAACACCAGUGGCGAAGGCGACUAUCUGGUACAUAACUGACGCUGAGGCGCGAAAGCGUGGGUAGCAAACAGGAUUAGAUACCCCGGUAGUC